rnacentral:snoRNA from 1 species
AUGAGAUUGUGUCAUGAACAGAGGAAUAUGAUUAAUCCAGUUCUGUGAACCCAAUGGA